AAGUGAGAUUUGGAAGUGGAGAUAGUGAAAAAUUGAGGAAUUGGGAAAAGAGGCAGAAAGGGAGAGAGACAGAUCUAUGAGAAUUCAGAGAGGGAGAAAGCCCAUAAAAAUUCAUCGAUCUUCAAACCUUAGGGCAGGACUUUGAUCCAAUGAGGUUGAGUGCUCAGAAAGAGUCAGUGACGAGGUUCAUUGCUUAGAGAGAGCAUGUGACGAGGUACAGUCCCCAGAGAGAGAUAAUGAUGAGAUCCAGUGCUUAGAGAGAGCCAAUGACGGUCUCCUUAUUCAGAGAGAACAUUUUUCAUAAAGGAGUUGGAGACAUGAAUAUUCCCGUAAAAUAACUCGGACAUCCAAACUUUUGGUACCACAUGCAUUAUAUGAGGAGGAGUACAUUGCAUUAGUACAUUAGCAUUAUGAUUGUCGUUGUUAUUUUGUGAAUUAUUGUGUGAGAAUGAUAAUUGAUGUUAUGUAUGACUAUCCUAACUGUUUAUUACACUGUUAACAUUAUGAACA